rfam:Dendroctonus ponderosae Seq01000258, whole genome shotgun sequence.
AAAACGGUUCUUUUCAGAACCACAUAUUCAUAGCUAAGAAUUUCAU